CUGCCUGGGCUCAGCCCACAGAUUGGAUUGUAACACAUCGCUGAACCCAGGAUCUAGGUUAUUUGCCUCUUCUCUUCUGCCUGGGCACUGCCAAAGAAAAAAGGAGAUUGUAGCAAUUCACUGGACCCAGAACCUAGUUGAGGGAGCAUUGUGACAUGCCACUGGGCUCAGCACCCAGGUGAUGUUCCUCUCCUGCCUGGUCCCUUCCAUCAGGGAAUAUUGUACAAAUCUCUGGCCAAGCACCCAGUUGAUGUGACUCUCCUGCUCACUACCUACUCACAGGUUACAUGUCCCAUGUCGCAGAAAAUGUUGUAAUGUAUUGCUGGACCCAGUCACCAGAUGAUGUGUCUCUCCUGCCAAGGCUGUGCCCACAGAGAGCAUUUUGACAUAUCACUGGGCUCAGCACCCAGGUGAAAUGACUCUGCUGCCUGUACUCUGCUUUAAGAGGGGAUUGUAAUAUAUCUGUGGCUGAGCACCUAGGUGAGAUGACUUCUGCGUGGUUUCUGACCUCAGGAAAGAUUGUGACAUAUCUUUGCCGAAAACCUACAUGAUGUGAAUCUGCUGCUCACUUCCUACCGACAGUCUCCAAAGUUAUCAGAAACCUGCAUUUAAAAAUACCUGGCAAAGUUCCAUAGCGGACCAUAAAUCACCUCUUGAAGAGGAUCGAAUCAAGACAACAAUUGUCUGAGGGAUUGAGACAAUUCUGGAAGCCCAGCACCUAGGUGAUGUGACUUUCAUCUUUUGUUUGGACCGUGUGCACAAAAGGAAGAGUGGCUUAUCACUGGACCUCACACACAGGAGGUAUUGUGACAUAUUCCUGGAGCAAGUACCCAGGUAAUGUAACUCUUUUCUACUGCUUGGACUCUACCCAAGGAGAGAUUCUAAUGUAUCACUGGACCCAGCACCUAGGUUACGUGACUUUCCUCUUGUGUCUGAGUCUUGCAUAAAUUGUGUAUUGUGACAAAUCUCUGGGUCUAAAACCUAGGUGAUGAGACUCUUAUGCAUGAGCCCUGCUUACAGGGAUAUUAUGACAUAUCUUUUUUUUUUAAUCACCUAUGUGAUGUGCCUUUGUUUGUGUGUGUGUGUGUGUGUGCGUCCUGGCCCUGCCAAAAGUGGGGAUUGUAACAUAUCAUUAAACUUAGUACCAAGGUGUUAUGACUCACCUUGUUUGCCUGGGCCCUGCAUAUAUUUGGUAAUGUGACGUAUGGCUGAGACAAACACCUAGGGCAUGAGAGCCUUGUGCCUGGGUCCUGCCCACAAGGAGCCUUUUGGCUUAUCUCUGCAUCCAUGAACUAGGAGAUGUGACUCUUCUUUUCUGUCUGGGUUCUGCAAAAACAAGUGAUUGUGACAUAUCAUCAAACCCAGCAACUAGACGAUGUGAUUUUUCUUCCCUGCUUGAGCCCUGGAUAUGCUGUGCAUUGUGAUAUAUGGCUGGGUCCAACAUCAAGGAGAGAUUGUGACAUAUCUCUGGAACCAGAACCUUGGUGAUGUGACUCUUCUCUCCUGCUGAAGCCAUGCCCACACAAGGGAAAGUGACUUAUCACUGGGCCCAGCACACAGCGCUAUUCACAGGGAAAAUAGUGACACAUCUGUGGGGUUCUCACCGAAAUGAUGUGACUCUCUUGCCUGGGCUCACCUCUCAAGGGAAUUUUGACAUAUUACUGGACCAAGCACCUAGGCCCUGCAUUUAUUGUGUAUUGUGACAUAUGGCUUGGUCCAACACCUAGGUGGUGUGACUCUCUACUUCUUCCUGUGCCAUGCCAAAGAAGAGGAUUGUGACAUAUCACUGGAUCCAGCACCUAGGAUGCAUAUGCCAGAUUUCCAGGCCCAUCACCUAGAUGAUGAGACUCUCCUCUUCUUUCUGGGACCAAUACACAGUGGGAAUUGUGAUGCAUCGUUUAGCUCAGCAGCUACAUGAUGUGACCCUCUUCUCAUGAGAUUCCUGCCCACUUGGGUAAUUGCAACAUAUAAUGUAGCCGAGUUUCUAGGAUACCUGACUCUUCUCUUAUUCCUGAGACUUACACAGAAUCGGCAACAUCUCUGAUCUUCUCACCUAGGAGACAUGACCCAAAAAGGGAUUAUGACAUAUCUCUGAGCCCAACACCCAAAUGUUGUGACUCUCCUGCCUGGGCUGUGCCUAGAGAAAAUAUAAUAUGUCACUGGGCCCUGCAUGCAAGUGAUCUGAUUCUCCAGCCUGGGCCUUGCCCACAGGGGAGAUUGAGACAUAUUCCAGGUGGAUGGUGACUCUAAGACCAGGAUUCAACACAACUAGAAGGCUUUGACUCUAAUACGAGUCACAGAAGGCUCUGCGACUCUUCUAUUUUCUCUAGGUUAUGCAAAUGGAGGUGGAUUGUGACAUAUCAUAGGGCCAACACAACACACAGUCUACAGGUGGAAUUGGGACUCUCAUGCAUGGAUCCAGUUCAUCAUUGAUACUGUGACUCAGGUGGGAUUUUGACAUAUAACUGCACCCAGCACACAGGUGAGAUUGUGACUCUUGUAUGCUCAUCCUGCCAAAAGUUGAGUGUCACCCUCACACAUGGACAGAGACUUCUGUGGUCCAUUACAUUGAUGACAUUAUGCUGAUUGAAUCCAGUAAGCAAGAAAUAGCAAACACACCAGACUUAUUCAUGAGACGUUUGCAUGCCAGAGGAUGGAAAAUAAGUCUGACUAAAAUUUAGAGACCUUCUAGCUCAGUAAAACUUCCAGGGGUCCAGUGGUCCAAGGCCUGUCAAGAUAGUCCUUCUAAGGUAAAAGGUAAGUUGCUGCAUUUGGCCCAUCCUACAACCAAGAAAGAGGCACAAUGUCUAGUGGGCCUAUUUGGGUUUUGGAGGCAACCUAUUCCUCAUUUGGGUGUGUUACUCUGGCCCAUUUAUUGAGUGACCCAAAAAGCUGCCAGUUCUGAGUGUGGUCCAGAAAAGGAGAAGGCUCUGCAACAGGUCCAGGCUGCUGUGCAAGCUGCUCUGCCACUUGGGCCAUAUUACCCAGGAGAUCCAAUGGAUCUUGAGUUGUCAGUGUAAAAUAAGGAUGCUAUUUGUAGCCUUUGGCAGGCCCCCUUAGGUGAAUCACAGCAGAGGCCUCUAGAAUUUUGUUCUUUC
rnacentral:lncRNA from 1 species